rnacentral:lncRNA from 1 species
GCUAGGGGUGUAGAAGAAAAGAAAAGGAAAGAAUAAACAAUGGUGUAAUAAUUUUGAUUGUAUUUGAAAGUUAAAUGCAUGUAAAAUGUGUAAUUAUGAUGUAAAAUAUAUCUAGUGAAUGUGAAUACUUGUAAUAGCAAGUAAAUUAUGUUUUUGAUACUUCCUUAUGCAAUCUUUGAUUGAAAUGUGUUCCUGGUUGGAACUUUGUACAUUGUAUUGAUUGCGACGCCUUGAAUGUACAGGGGAGACUCUGUCCGCGGUACCGGAGAAAUCCUGUCCGUUCGGCGGUUUCUCGACGUGCCUGAAACCGGCCAAAUAGGCGGGCUCGGGGCGUGACAUUCAUGAAGCAAUCUCAUUUAGUUUCAAGUGAGAUUCAUGAAUGUAAGG